GAGAUCAAAGAAUCACCCUCGGUUGUUGGUUAAAUUAUUAUCUUGUCAAUCAGGAUUUUGGCGAAAUCUAAUGCUGUUAAACACCCGAUAAAUCAAUCAAUUCAAUAGUGAUAAUGGAGAGGAUGAUGAGUAAAAAGAAAGGGUUAACUACCGCA
rnacentral:sRNA from 2 species